rnacentral:rRNA from 1 species
UACGUAGGGUGCAAGCGUUAAUCGGAAUUACUGGGCGUAAAGCGUGCGCAGGCGGUUGUGCAAGACAGAUGUGAAAUCCCCGGGCUUAACCUGGGAAUUGCAUUUGUGACUGCACGGCUAGAGUGUGUCAGAGGGGGGUAGAAUUCCACGUGUAGCAGUGAAAUGCGUAGAUAUGUGGAGGAACACCGAUGGCGAAGGCAGCCCCCUGGGCUAACACUGACGCUCAUGCACGAAAGCGUGGGGAGCAAACAGG